UACGGAGGGGGCUAGCGUUGUUCGGAAUUACUGGGCGUAAAGCGCACGUAGGCGGCUUUUGUAAGUUAGAGGUGAAAGCCCGGGGCUCAACCCUGGAAUUGCCUUUAAGACUGCAUCGCUAGAAUUGUGGAGAGGUAAGUGGAAUUCCGAGUGUAGAGGUGAAAUUCGUAGAUAUUCGGAAGAACACCAGUGGCGAAGGCGACUUACUGGACACAUAUUGACGCUGAGGUGCGAAAGCGUGGGGAGCAAACAGG
rnacentral:rRNA from 1 species